UGUGUAUUUGCUUUUUCCCUCAUCAGAAUGUCAAUUCACUGUAAAUAGAGAUUGUUUCAUCUUCAUAUGUGGAAGCACCUGGUGUAGUUCCUGGCACGUAAUAGACUCUUAGUCUAUGCUUGCUAAGUGAGUGGUUGGGGAACUGGCUUCUAGGCUUGAGUAAUGGAAAAGAUUGCAGUGAAUGACCUCUUGCUCUUUUCCUUGAUAGCUUUGAAGCCAGAAGGAUCGCUGAGAGCCUCCUAGUGAGGUCAGAACAGCAGGCUCUCUUUCCCACUACGUGACCCCUAAAGGAGCCUCUGUUCCUGGGUGCUCUCGUCUUAUAUCAGUUGAAUUGGCUUUUUGAAGGUCCUGAGAUGACCAGUGAAACCAAGAGACCUUUCAAAGCCCUCCAGAGGCCCAGGACCAAUGGGAGCAGCGGUUGAGUCCAAGGGAGAGCCAGUAGGUCCACCAGAUUAAAUCCUUGGCAAGACCAACGAGCCGCCUCUUUCCAGGCAGGAAUUAUAUUGCAAAAUGCCAUUUGGCAGGGAAUCUUCAACAAAAGAUCAGAAACCUGGCAUUGCUUCUCAAGCUUGUGGAAGGAAUGUGUGCAUGCUUAGUAGACGCAACAAGAGAGACGAGAAGAUAUAAUAAAGCAAUUCAAAAUGAUUCUAAUAAAGGAUGGAAUGGAAUAAACAUUUAUUAAAGACCUACUAUGUGCCAGUCACUGUGCCAAGCUAAUAUUUACAAAACUUAUCUCCUCUGAUUGUCAUUACUUUGUUGUUGUUAUUCGGUUGCUUUUGAGUCAUAUUUGACUCUUUGUGACCCCCUUUGGUAUUCUCUUGGCAAAGAUACUGAAGUGACUUGCCAUUUCUUUCUCCAACUCAUAUUCCAGAUGGGGAAACUUAAGUAAAUAAUUUAAGUGACUUGCCCAGGGUCACACAGCUAGUGUCUGAGGCUGAAUUUGAACUUAUGAAGAUGAGUCUUCCUGAUGCCAGGCCUGGAACUCUAUCUACUGCACCACCUAGGCACCCUUACAAUACUCAACGCAACCCUGUGUUAUUAAGAUCCCCAUUUAACAAUUGAGAAACUGAGGCAGAAAAGCAUUAAAUGACUUGCCCAGGGUCACACACACCUAGAAAGUGUCUGAAUUCAGAUUUGAACCCUGGUAUUUUUAAGUUGGCAGUUAGCUGAAUAAGAGGAAGGCAGGAACUGGAGUCGAGUCUUAGCAUUCUAUUCACUGUACCAUUUAGGACAAUGUAUAAGAGGAAACUUGGACUAGAUAACUAUUUCAACUCUAAAUCUCUAAUUCUAUUAUUAAGUGGCACCCAAUAAUAUAUCAUAAU
rnacentral:lncRNA from 1 species